rnacentral:pre_miRNA from 1 species
UUAACUCAUAUUUGUAUGGAAUGGGAUCGUUUGCGUACGUUUGCCGCUAGGGGCGCUGUUCCAAUUGCAUACAAAAUUAGGUUA